GUAGUCCACGCCGUAAACGUUGGGCGCUAGGUGUGGGGACUGUUUCCACGGUCUCCGUGCCGGAGCUAACGCAUUAAGCGCCCCGCCUGGGGAGUACGGCCGCAAGGCUAAAACUCAAAGGAAUUGACGGGGGCCCGCACAAGCGGCGGAGCAUGCGGCUUAAUUCGAUGCAACGCGAAGAACCUUACCAGGGCUUGACAUGCACGGUGCAGCCGUAGAGAUACGGUGUCCUUUGGGGUCGUGCACAGGUGGUGCAUGGUUGUCGUCAGCUCGUGUCGUGAGAUGUUGGGUUAAGUCCCGCAACGAGCGCAACCCUCGUCCUGUAUUGCCAGCAGCAUCUUCGGAUGGCUGGGGACUUGCGGGAGACUGCCGGGGUCAACUCGGA
rnacentral:rRNA from 1 species